GAGGGUAUAGCUCAAGUGGUAGAGCACACGCUUAGCACACACGAAGUCCUGGGUUCAAUCCCUAGUACCUCCU
rfam:Camelus ferus unplaced genomic scaffold scaffold1006, whole genome shotgun sequence.